GUUCUAGUGGAAACACUGACCACGGCUGACUUCACUCCCCCCUCUACCCCUCAACAAUGGACGGUUCGGUCGGUUGUGGUCGGAGGUUGGAUUGGAAAGUGGAAAAGAUCCUUGUGACUGUUCGUUAGAAUUUUACUUAAUAUCUAAUCUACAAUUUUCGAUAGCAAAUAUUAUAUCAGCACACCUCAAUCAUGGGUUGUUGGGGGCGCGUGAGGGGUGUUCUGCCGCGUGCUCGCUGCCGGCGCAGAGAGCUGGCGGGCACACGCGUGCGAGUGCCGCGCCGAGCUGUGCGAGCGAGCUGCCGCUGAGUGACGUGGCGCGCGAUGCGUUACUGACGGGUUGUCCUGCCGCGCGCUGCCUGCAGGCGAGCACUGCCCUGCUGCCUCGCUCCGAGUGACGAGUGCCUCGCUCCGAAGUGCCUCGCGCCCUGUGCCUCGCUCCGAGUGCUUCGUGCCCUGUGCCUCGUGCCUCGCUCCGAAGUGCCUCGCGCCCUGUGCCUCGUGCCCCGUGCCUCGCUCCGAGUGCCUCGCGCCGUGUUCCUCGCCUCGCUUGUCUCGCGGCGUAUUAUGUAUUUCCACCAGGAUUUCUUCUUGCAGUGAGACGCUACAUUACACUAUUAUAGCUAAGUGCUAAAUGAUUAUUAAUAACAAACUUCUUUUAUGAUUGCGGUUAAACAAUAUUGAGCACUUAUGACAAAAACUUUACAAAUGAGCUUAUUAUGUAGAAGGAUUGAUGUACCUAAACCUUUUGAAUGUUUAUCAAACUACAUUGUUUUAAUAAUUAUUGAUUUGCUUAUAACAAGUAAUGAGGCAGGAGAAGUCGGACAUAUCAUACAUAUUAUAUCAUACAUAUCAUCGGAGUAUCUCAAUACUUACAGGAAACACUUUCACUUAUGUUUGCAAUACACGCGGCCGUCCUGACAGUUGUCUACAUCGGAGAGUUUUGUGUCACCGCUAAUGUUGCACUUUGCGCGUGAUUUUUUCUUUUUAACAAUUUUCAAUCAUUUGCCAGUCGUUAGGGGCUACCAUUGUAAUCGUUAUGGGUUGUUGUGGCGCGGCUCCCGCUGUCCUCAUUUUCGUGUCAACGGUUCUGUUACAUGACGGACACGGGUAGACGCCUUCCUCCCGUCUCGAGGGAGACGGAGAUCGAGCGUUCGGGCUUAAAGAUUUAAGGGUCGCUACCUUCGGCUCCUGUAGGAGGCUAGAGGCUCUACCAUACGUUUCUUUGUAUUGAUCGAAAGCAACCAUUAAAUCUCUUGGGGGCCAGUAUCUUUCUUAUCCCCUAUGUUCCACGAAACCAAAAGCUAAACAGUUCGUUAUUAAUUAAUACAGUACAAUCGCACUGUCACAAUCCUAACUACAAAGUGUCACUGUCGCACUACACUACACUACAGAUGGCGCUGUUGCAAUGCUGCAAGUGGCGCCACUAUCGCGUCCGGGCUAGGAGCUCCACCUCCGCUUUAACUGCGGAGCUGCGUCAGCAUUGACCGUUAUAGGGUGAGCGCGCCGCUUGUGCACACCCAACCCUAUUUUCGUGCCAAAGGUCCUGUUACACAAACAACAAGGGUAAACGCUUUCCCCCCGUCUCGAGGGAGACGGAGAUCGAGCGUCCGGGCUUAAAGAUUUAAGGGUCGCUACCUCCGGCUCCUGUGGGAGGCCAGAGGCUCGACCAUACAUUUCCAUAUACGAAUCGAAAGCAACCAUAAAUCUUGGAGGGGGGAGGCUGCUAACCUCCCCCCCAAGUUCGUCCACAACUAUGUUAUGUCCCCACCGUAUGAGCUGCUGGACUUGAGGAACUCUUCACCCCAAGGAGUGUUGCAUCGCUGUGUCCACAUUCUCUGCAAAUCCUUCCGCAAGUCUGGUCCCGUUAAUGAUAUUGCCUGGUGGCCUGAACCUGCCACUGGCUGUACGGUAUGCCAACCCCCAGGGGUCUUGGUUGCCUGAUUCCGCUUGCUUGCGGAAGAAUUCGAGCUGCGCCUCCUCCAUCGCUUUCCUGUACUUACUGCGGACCAUGCAACACUCCUCUCGUGCAUCAUCUGCCAUUCGCCCCGGUCGUUUUUUGGCCUUCUGCCAAUGUUUUCGUGCCCUGUUGUAGCUCCUGCGCAUGGAUUCCAGCGCAGGGUUUCACCAUUCAUACCCUCUUUCAUUCCGAUUCCCUACCAUACCAAGACAAUCUUUCGCAGUCCGCGCGAUGACUCGCGUGAACUCCUCGCACACUAGGACGAUAGGCCUCUCCCAUUUCAACUUACCUAUCCGAGACUGUACCGCACACUGGAAUUGCUACCAGUCCACGCCGCGGUCUCGGAAUCUCGCAGGCUCUCCUGGUGAGGGCUGGCCCCGUGUGUGAGUGGGGGAUGGCCGACGACGCGUUGUUCACCAAGCUCAAAGGUGAUGAGCUGGUGGUCGCUCGAGCUGGCUCCCUCGUGGACUCGCCAGUUAUCCACCCGGACGCCACGUGUGGACAGGGUGACGUCUAUAUUGGAUUCCCCAUUGACCGUGGCGAAUGUUGGCGGUUGGUUGCCGACAUUGUGGAGAAUGAGGUCAUGCGACAUGAUAAAGUCCUCCAUCGCCUCUCUUCGCCGGGUCGUCUCGCCCCCCCUGCCGAUGUAGUGCCGCUGCUCGCUGUGCCACAGCGGAGAGUGCGUGUUGGUGUCAGCGCCUACCAGAACUCGGCAUCCUCUUAGUUUGUUUAGUACCCGCGCCAGAUGUUCUAGAUGCGGCGAGAUAUCUUCGGAGUACUGGAAGUAGGCGCUGACCAUGUACAUGGAUAGACCUCCGAUGAGGAUGUGGCAGACCAGGCAGUGGGGGGUGCUUAGGUGUUGAAGCACCGCACACGUGGUUGUUCUAUCCGCCACGUAGAUCCCCACUUUUGGGGCGGAGCAUUCUGGUAGUGUAAGUGAAGGCGCUGAACUUCCACAGUAGGACUCCUGUGCCAGCACGAUGUGCACACCAAUGGCCUUUACGAUCACCGGCAGCUCUGUAGUCGCCAGGGCUGAGCCUUGCAGGUGCAGCUGCGCUAUCUUAGCCAUGGACGGUGGAGUAGCUGGUUCCAGCUAUGGCGCGGGACUCCGCGCGAAUGCGCGCCGGACAGUUCCUGGCUGCCGUUCUAUGUGAGCUGGCUCCUGGGCGCCCAAACUUCUUGCAGGUAGCGCAGCUUACUGUGGCACUUUGGCACUCAGUCGCCUUGUGGCCGUCUUCACCGCAGUUCCCGCACACCAUGUUUUUAACCCGGCAGUACUUUUCCGGGUGACCAUACUGCUGGCACCGAUUACAGCAGGUCACGAUAUCGUCGUGGUGGCCUAGUGGGUAAAGAACCAACCUCUCGAGUAUGAGGGCGUGGGUUCGAUUCCAGGUCAGGCAAGUACCAAUGCAACUUUUCUAAGUUUGUAUGUACUUUCUAAGUAUAUCUUAGACACCAAUGGCUGAUAAAAAGGUGAAGGAAAACAUCUUGAGGAAACCUGGACUAUAAAGUCUGAAAUCACCAACCCGCAUUGAGCAAGCGUGGUGAUUAUUGCUCAAUCCUUCUCUGUGUGAGAGGAGGCCUGUGCCCAGCAGUGGGACGAUAAAAA